UUCUAUUAUUAAGGUAAUGAUUUUGGGUGAGAUGAUUUAACGUUGAUACUGUACUACGUAUGAAGUUCAAUUAGAUAAGAAAAUGGUCUAGAUGUUAAUAUAUUGGCGGAGCACUACUUCGCUGAAUAUCUUUUAACUUGUAGACGUUCAAAUAGUAUAUCCCGUCGCGCUGGUUGAAAAAUGCAGUUUUUCAUGACAUUAUUCAUAAAUUAUGCAUAGACUAUCCCUAGCAAUUACUUAUGACAGUUUUGGAAAGCAUGAGAGAAAAGAAUGUAAGAAAAAAUGUUUAAUAAGGGAAUACAACUUUUGUUUCUGAAUGUUUAAAAAAAAUACUAAUUCAUUUUUUAAAAAUUUACUAUUUUUAAUUUUUUAUGUAUGAGUGUAUGUAUUGCAAGGUUUCGAUUGCUUGGAUCCGCAUCAAAUUUGUUUUUUCAUAUGCAACCCAUUUAGAUCACUAGUUCACGAAGUUUUCUAUAGAGAUUAGACAAUUUUAAGGGAAAAGAAGUAUGAAGAAGCCAUAUAGGCACAAAUCGUUAUCAACCAACUAACCAAACUGCGCAUAAGCAGGCAAAUCUGUUGCAUUGCAGAGAAAUCUAUUACACAUUAUCACAUUUAAUUUCAUAAAAAUUAAUGUAUUUAAAAAUCAUACCUAAAAUGGAUCCAAGAUAUUUAUCUCAUAGGUACGUAUAUUAACAAAAUAACAUUUUUAUGAUAUAGAGUGCUAUAAAAAAAAAUAACGCGAUAGAGCAAAAAUAUAGCGUUUUUUAGAAAACGCCCCCCCCCCCCAAAAUAUACAAA